AAUCUGCGAUAAGCGUCGGUGAGGUGAUAUGAACCGUUAUAACCGGCGAUUUCCGAAUGGGGAAACCCAGUGUGUUUCGACACACUAUCAUUAACUGAAUCCAUAGGUUAAUGAGGCGAACCGGGGGAACUGAAACAUCUAAGUACCCCGAGGAAAAGAAAUCAACCGAGAUUCCCCCAGUAGCGGCGAGCGAACGGGGAGCAGCCCAGAGCCUGAAUCAGUGUGUGUGUUAGUGGAAGCGUCUGGAAAGGCGUGCGAUACAGGGUGACAGCCC
rnacentral:rRNA from 1 species